rnacentral:rRNA from 1 species
GCCUUAGUAACGGCGAGUGAAGCGGCAAAAGCUCAAAUUUGAAAUCUGGUACCUUCGGUGCCCGAGUUGUAAUUUGGAGAGGGCAACUUUGGGGCCGUUCCUUGUCUAUGUUCCUUGGAACAGGACGUCAUAGAGGGUGAGAAUCCCGUGUGGCGAGGAGUGCGGUUCUUUGUAAAGUGCCUUCGAAGAGUCGAGUUGUUUGGGAAUGCAGCUCUAAGUGGGUGGUAAAUUCCAUCUAAAGCUAAAUAUUGGCGAGAGACCGAUAGCGAACAAGUACAGUGAUGGAAAGAUGAAAAGAACUUUGAAAAGAGAGUGAAAAAGUACGUGAAAUUGUUGAAAGGGAAGGGCAUUUGAUCAGACAUGGUGUUUUGUGCCCUCUGCUCCUUGUGGGUAGGGGAAUCUCGCAUUUCACUGGGCCAGCAUCAGUUUUGGUGGCAGGAUAAAUCCAUAGGAAUGUAGCUUGCCUCGGUAAGUAUUAUAGCCUGUGGGAAUACUGCCAGCUGGGACUGAGGACUGCGACGUAAGUCAAGGAUGCUGGCAUAAUGGUUAUAUGCCGCCCGUCUUGAAACACGGACCAA